GAUGAACGCUGGCGGUAUGCUUAACACAUGCAAGUCGAACGGUCACUUCGGUGAUAGUGGCGGACGGGUGAGUAACGCGUAAGAAUCUGUCUUCAGGUCGGGGACAACAGUUAGUAAUGACUGCUAAUACCGGAUGUGCCUUUGGGUGAAAGAUUUAUUGCCUGAAAAAGAGCUCGCGUCAGAUUAGCUAGUAGGUGGUGUAAGAGACUACCUAGGCUCCGAUCUGUAGCUGGUCUGAGAGGACGAUCAGCCACACUGGAACUGAGACACGGUCCAGACUCCUACGGGAGGCAGCAGUGGGGAAUUUUCCGCAAUGGGCGAAAGCCUGACGGAGCAAUACCGCGUGAGGGACGAAGGCUUUUGGGUCGUAAACCUCUUUUCUCAAGGAAGAUGAUGACGGUACUUGAGGAAUAAGCAUCGGCUAACUCUGUG
rnacentral:rRNA from 1 species